CUAGGGUGGCUGCAGUGGGGAAUAUUGGACAAUGGGCGAAAGCCUGAUCCAGCCAUGCCGCGUGUGUGAAGAAGGCCUUCGGGUUGUAAAGCACUUUCAGUGGGGAAGAAAGCCUUGGGGCUAAUACCCUCGAGGAAGGACAUCACCCACAGAAGAAGCACCGGCUAACUCCGUGCCAGCAGCCGCGGUAAUACGGAGGGUGCGAGCGUUAAUCGGAAUUACUGGGCGUAAAGCGCGCGUAGGCGGUCUGAUAAGCCGGUUGUGAAAGCCCCGGGCUCAACCUGGGAACGGCAUCCGGAACUGCCAGGCUAGAGUGCAGGAGAGGAAGGUAGAAUUCCCGGUGUAGCGGUGAAAUGCGUAGAGAUCGGGAGGAAUACCAGUGGCGAAGGCGGCCUUCUGGACUGACACUGACGCUGAGGUGCGAAAGCGUGGGUAGCAAACAGGAUUAGAUACCCGAGUAGUC
rnacentral:rRNA from 1 species